rnacentral:rRNA from 1 species
AGAGUUUGAUCAUGGCUCAGAUUGAACGCUGGCGGCGUGCCUAACACAUGCAAGUCGAGCGGUAACAGGUGUAGCAAUACAUGCUGACGAGCGGCGAACGGGUGAGUAAUGCUUCGGAAUCUACCCUCUAGUGGGGAAUAACCAGCCGAAAGGUUGGCUAAUACCGCAUACGUCCUACGGGAGAAAGCAGGGGAUCGUAAGACCUUGCGCUGAUGGAUGAGCCGAAGUCGGAUUAGCUAGUUGGUGAGGUAACGGCUCACCAAGGCGACGAUCCGUAGCUGGUCUGAGAGGACGACCAGCCACACUGGGACUGAGACACGGCCCAGACUCCUACGGGAGGCAGCAGUGGGGAAUAUUGGACAAUGGGGGCAACCCUGAUCCAGCGACGCCGCGUGUGUGAAGAAGGCCUGCGGGUUGUAAAGCACUUUUAGUGGGGAUGAAAUGUGCAGGGUUAAUACCUCUGCAUUUUGACCUAACCCACAGAAAAAGCACCGGCUAACUCUGUGCCAGCAGCCGCGGUAAUACAGAGGGUGCAAGCGUUAAUCGGAAUUACUGGGCGUAAAGCGUGCGCAGACGGUUAUAUAAGUCGGGUGUGAAAGCCCCGGGCUCAACCUGGGAAUUGCAUUCGAGACUGUGUAGCUAGGGUACGGAAGAGGGAAGCGGAAUUUCAGGUGUAGCGGUGAAAUGCGUAGAUAUCUGAAGGAACACCAGUGGCGAAAGCGGCUUCCUGGUCCAGUACCGACGUUCAGGCACGAAAGCGUGGGGAGCAAACAGGAUUAGAUACCCUAGUAGUCC